CAAAGCUCCCCUUUCCUUAAUUGGUUUCGCUGCCAAAAAGCCUUCCUUCUUCCAGGGCCCUCUUAAUGCUGCUGGCAGAAUUCUCUUUCAAAACAACACAAACACAAACUCACACCUUGGCUCAAAACCUACAUGGACGACAGAAAUAAAUUGAAGCAUCCAAGCCUGUCAUCUGAGAUCUUCUAUAAAUCUUGUCCCCAGCUUUCCUUUGUCCAGAAAGACUUUCUUUCCACCUCCACUCUGUCUGUUCAUUUAUUCAUCCCUUUGUUAACUCAGCAAACAUUUAUUCAGCUCCUUAAUUUAUUCAGACGCCACAUUAAGCACAGGAGUGUAGGAAGAUACACUAUAGAAAAGCAGAUUGGCCUUCCAGGUGCUCAGCCUACUGCAUAGGGCAGCCAUGGAAAUGGGAUAAGACUUCCUACAUGGAAGAUGUAGCUGCUAAAUGAAGACAUCCAGCUGAAAACAAAAAACAACUCCUGUUGCCGACCAACUAUAUUGGGCCGGUGCUAGGCACUUUCCACGCCUCAUCACCGAUCCUCAGAGGAGCCCAUUUCACAGAUGGGGACACCAAGGUACACCCAGGUUUCCCAGCUUCGAGCUGUGUAUGCCCAGGUGUCAUGGUGAAAAGCCCAUCAGCCAUAAGCACGUAAGGCAUGGGGAUGCCAGGUGCGCAAACACCGGAUGGAUGUGGGUGCCCGGACAUCCUCGGACAUUCUGCCAAGCAAGCGAACCAAGAACAUCUCUGGCCUUCAAGUCUUUCCGUAUGGGCCCUGAGUAGCAGUUCAAACUGUCUUGACUUAUAAAUUCUUUAAAUAACAAGUGGCAAGAUCCUGUAUG